rnacentral:rRNA from 1 species
GAUGAACGCGAGCGGCAGGCUUAAUACAGGCAAGUCGUGGGGCAGCAUGAGUGUAGCAAUACAUUUGAUGGCGACCGGCAAACGGGUGCGGAACACGUACACAAGCUUCCUAUAAGUGGGGAAUAGCACAGAGAAAUUUGGAUUAAUACCCCGUAACAUAAUGAUGUGGCAUCACAUUAUUAUGAUAGCUUCGGCGCUUAUUGAUGGGUGUGCGGCUGAUUAGAUAGUUGGCGGGGUAACGGCCUACCAAGUCAACGAUCAGUAGCGGAUGUGAGAACAUGAUAGGCCACACCGGCGAUGUGAGACGGGCCCGAAUCCUACGGGAGGCAGCAGUAAGUAAUAUUGGGCAAGAGACGCAAGUCUGAACCAGCCGUGCCGCGUGAAGGAUUAAGGUCCUCUGGAUUGUAAGCUUCUUUUAUCUGGGACGAAAAAAGGCGAUUCUUCGUCACUUGACGGUACCAGAUGAAUAAGCACCGGCUAACUCCGUGCCAGCAGCCGCAGUAAAAC